rnacentral:ribozyme from 2 species
AUUUUAAUGCAGCCAAAGACUGUCUCAAGCCAGUAGAAUGCAGAGAGUUAU